rnacentral:rRNA from 1 species
UCGAGAAUCUUCCGCAAUGGGCGAAAGCCUGACGGAGCAAUGCCGCGUGCAGGAUGAAGGCCUUCGGGUCGUAAACUGCUGUCACCGGGGAUGAAUAAUGACAGUACCCGGGGAGGAAGUCACGGCUAACUACGUGCCAGCAGCCGCGGUAAUACCAAGGUGACGAGCGAUGCUCGGAUUUAUUGGGCGUAAAGGGUUCGUAGGAGGUUUAUUAAGAUAGGUGUGAAAUCCCGAGGCUCAACCUUGGAACUGCAUUGAUUACUGGUGAACUAGAGUAUAGUAGAGGAGAGUGGAAUUCCAGGUGUAGCGGUGAAAUGCGUAGAUAUCUGGAAGAACACCGACAGCGAAGGCAGCUUUCUGGGCGAUAACUGACUCUGAGGAACGAAAGCAUGGGGAGCAAACA